AGAGUUUGAUCCUGGCUCAGAGUGAACGCUGGCGGCGUGCCUAAUACAUGCAAGUCGAACGAUGAAGCUUCUAGCUUGCUAGAAUGCUGAUUAGUGGCGCACGGGUGAGUAACGCAUAGGUCAUGUGCCUCUUAGUUUGGGAUAGCCAUUGGAAACGAUGAUUAAUACCAGAUACUCCCUACGGGGGAAAGAUUUAUCGCUAAGAGAUCAGCCUAUGUCCUAUCAGCUUGUUGGUAAGGUAAUGGCUUACCAAGGCUAUGACGGGUAUCCGGCCUGAGAGGGUGAACGGACACACUGGAACUGAGACACGGUCCAGACUCCUACGGGAGGCAGCAGUAGGGAAUAUUGCUCAAUGGGGGAAACCCUGAAGCAGCAACGCCGCGUGGAGGAUGAAGGUUUUAGGAUUGUAAACUCCUUUUGUUAGAGAAGAUAAUGACGGUAUCUAACGAAUAAGCACCGGCUAACUCCGUGCCAGCAGCCGCGGUAAUACGGAGGGUGCAAGCGUUACUCGGAAUCACUGGGCGUAAAGAGCGCGUAGGCGGGAUAGUCAGUCAGGUGUGAAAUCCUAUGGCUUAACCAUAGAACUGCAUUUGAAACUACUAUUCUAGAGUGUGGGAGAGGUAGGUGGAAUUCUUGGUGUAGGGGUAAAAUCCGUAGAGAUCAAGAGGAAUACUCAUUGCGAAGGCGACCUGCUGGAACAUUACUGACGCUGAUUGCGCGAAAGCGUGGGGAGCAAACAGGAUUAGAUACCCUGGUAGUCCACGCCCUAAACGAUGGAUGCUAGUUGUUGGAGGGCUUAGUCUCUCCAGUAAUGCAGCUAACGCAUUAAGCAUCCCGCCUGGGGAGUACGGUCGCAAGAUUAAAACUCAAAGGAAUAGACGGGGACCCGCACAAGCGGUGGAGCAUGUGGUUUAAUUCGAAGAUACACGAAGAACCUUACCUAGGCUUGACAUUGAGAGAAUCCGCUAGAAAUAGUGGAGUGUCUGGCUUGCUAGACCUUGAAAACAGGUGCUGCACGGCUGUCGUCAGCUCGUGUCGUGAGAUGUUGGGUUAAGUCCCGCAACGAGCGCAACCCCCUUUCUUAGUUGCUAACAGGUCAUGCUGAGAACUCUAAGGAUACUGCCUCCGUAAGGAGGAGGAAGGUGGGGACGACGUCAAGUCAUCAUGGCCCUUACGCCUAGGGCUACACACGUGCUACAAUGGGGUGCACAAAGAGAAGCAAUACUGCGAAGUGGAGCCAAUCUUCAAAACACCUCUCAGUUCGGAUUGUAGGCUGCAACUCGCCUGCAUGAAGCUGGAAUCGCUAGUAAUCGCAAAUCAGCCAUGUUGCGGUGAAUACGUUCCCGGGUCUUGUACUCACCGCCCGUCACACCAUGGGAGUUGUGUUUGCCUUAAGUCAGGAUGCUAAAUUGGCUACUGCCCACGGCACACACAGCGACUGGGGUGAAGUCGUAACAAGGUAACCGUAGGUGAACCUGCGGUUGGAUCACCU
rnacentral:rRNA from 1 species